rnacentral:rRNA from 1 species
AUGCUGACGAGGAUCCACCAAGAGACGCUCCAGUACGGCCUUGCGAAUGGCCGUCGGAAAAUUUUAUGGACCGUGCGGGAAUUAAAGAAGAAUUCAAAGCAUAUUUGCGCAAUGCCGGUCUUGAAGAUUUUGAGGCUAACAAAUGCCCCCCAGUAUCAUGAUCUCACAAGUUCAUUUGUGAGGAGGUUUGAGUAUUCAUCUUCGCGUAAUUCUCCUUCAGUCAUGCUUGAUCUUUAUAACAAAUCUUAUACCAUGGACCUAGAGGAUUUCACUUCUGCUUGCGAACUUCCAUCAUGGGGUAGUGUUAGGGAUCCCCCUAAAUCUGAAUUUAGAAACUUUCUUGCUAGUAUAACUGUGGGGGAAUCUAGAGAUAUAACGCAGGCUACCAUAGGGAGCAUUCACUUUCCUUCUAUACAUUAUUUUGCUCUCUUCAUCGGUAGAUGCAUAAAUGCUAAGGAUGAAGCAUGUCACAUGUGUGUCACUGAUCUUAGCAUUCUUAGGAGUGCUGUGUUAGGAGACCAAUCUUAUCAUAUGGGAGCCAUUGUAGCUCGUAGGUUGCAUCAUAAUAGACAUAAUGGAGAUUUCUUUGGAGGAAUUUAUGCAACCCGCUUAGCUCGUUUCCUUGAGAUAGACAUUCGUGAGGGUGAUAUGGAGUUGCCUCCUGCAUAUUUAGAUUAUGACUCUAUGGCUUCACACCAGUUUGUCGAGAGGCCUGAAUCACCUCUCUUAUAUCGUUUAAUUUUUGAUAAACGACGUGUUUUCCGUAUUACUCUCCCUGCUCCUGCCUUCUUUGAUUCACAGACAAAAGGAAGAUAUGUUAUUACUAUAGAGGAGGCAGAAGAGUGCGAGAGGAGAGGAGAGGCAGCUUGA